rnacentral:ribozyme from 17 species
GUCACUCUCGUGUUCUUGCUGGCGGGAAGGUCUGGGAAAAGGCCGGCGUCAAUUUGUCUGUGGUACAUGGUACUAUGCCAGUGUCGGCCUUGCGAGCGGCCACCGAACGUGGGGUGGAU